rnacentral:tRNA from 1 species
GCUUCCGUAGCUCAGUUGGUUAGAGCUUCGUACUAAUACUUGCCCACCGGGCUAGCAUUGGUAAUGCGAAGGUCGCAGGUUCAAGCCCUGCCGGGAGCA